UGACAGUGAACUGGCUGCAACAUCUGUCAGCUGUUUGUUCAGCUGAUCUGGUUCCCUAGGUGGGUGUCCCCUUCCUCCUGAUUGCUCCAUGUGCGUCUCUCCUGAAGCUGUGUGCUUGGUGAAAGAGGACAACCAUCUAGAUCAGGGGUCGCCAACCUUUUAGACCUCAGGGACCACCAAAUUCAUAAUUUUAGAUCCCAGGGACACUAACUGGUUCUGUGGG
rnacentral:sRNA from 1 species